CCUANGGGUGGCAGCAGUGAGGAAUAUUCCACAAUGGGGGAAACCCUGAUGGAGCGAUGCCGCGUGCAGGAAGACGCUUUUCGGAGUGUAAACUGCUUUUAAUAGGGAAGAUUAUGACGGUACCUAUAGAAUAAGGACCGGCUAACUACGUGCCAGCAGCCGCGGUAAUACGUAGGGUCCAAGCGUUAUUCGGAAUUACUGGGCGUAAAGCGUACGUAGGCGGUUUGAUAAGUUGGAUGUGAAAUCCUGUGGCUCAACCACAUGGACUGUGUCCAAAACUAUCUGACUAGAGCAUAGUAGAGGCAAGUGGAAUUUGCGGUGUAGGAGUGACAUCCGUAGAUAUCGCAAGGAACACCAAUGGCGAAGGCAGCUUGCUGGGCUAUUGCUGACGCUCAGGUACGAAAGCGUGGGGAGCGAACGGGAUUAGAUACCCUGNUANUC
rnacentral:rRNA from 1 species